AAAUGACUCUCGGCAACGGAUWCUCGGUCUCGCAUCGAUGAAGAACGUAGCGAAUGCGAUACUUGGUGUGAAUUGCAGAAUCCCGUGAACCAUCGAGUCUUUGAACGCAAGUUGCGCCCGAAGCCAGCUGGCYGAGGGCACGUCUGCCUGGGCGUCACGC
rnacentral:rRNA from 1 species